UCACAGGAUGAUUUUUGUGUGCAAAUUAUUCAAUUGAAACAGUGGUGUGCAUUAGCACCUUUGCCAAAACUCAGUAAAAGAGAUGUUAUUCAAUUUUGGCAAGAUGUGAAUAAAAUUUGUGAAGAUAACACAACAUUAGUAACUUGCUAUGAUGGAGCAUUGGCUAGUGGUUUAUUUACAGCUUUAUCAUUUAUCAUCGAACAAAUAGAUUUUGAACAUGAAUGUGAUAUUUCAUUGGCUGUUCGAACAAUUCGACAUAAUCGACCCAAUUUUGUUCGUUCGGAAGAACAAUUUAAAUACUUAUAUGAGAUUGCAAUAAGUUAUGUCGACAGUUUUAGCACAUACUCGAAU